rnacentral:rRNA from 1 species
AAUCUUGCGCAAUGGGCGAAAGCCUGACGCAGCAACGCCGCGUGCGGGAUGAAGGCCCNCGGGUUNUNAACCGCUUUCAGUGGGGNCAAAUCCAGACGGUACCCACAGAAGAAUCCCCGGCCAACUACGUGCCAGCAGCCGCGGUAACACGUAGGGGGCGAGCGUUGUCCGGAUUCAUUGGGCGUAAAGAGCUCGUAGGCGGCUCAGCAAGUCGGGUGUGAAAACUCCAGGCUCAACCUGGAGACGCCACCCGAUAAUGCUGUGGCUAGAGUGCAGUAGGGGAGCGUGGAAUUCCCGGUGUAGCGGUGAAAUGCGCAGAUAUCGGGAGGAACACCAGCGGCGAAGGCGGCGCUCUGGGCUGGAACUGACGCUGAGGAGCGAAAGCGUGGGGAGCAAACAGG